UUUUGAUCUCUCUUCUCCACGAUCGGUAGGGUUUCGAGACUAGCACCUUGUCGCCUCCCUAAUCCCUCUUCGCCAUCGGUAGCAGCGAUGAACGACAAUGCCCACCACCUCCUCGCCAACACACUGCAAUACAGUAGCCGGACCAUCGCUUCAAUCACCGGCAUCUGUUCGUCGACUCACACGACUGCCACUGACUUUACGUGACGGGAACGUCAAAGCACAUGGCCGUCGUCGCUGCUGGUCCGAGCGUGCGUCCCGGCGCCGCAGCGCCCCCAUGCUUGCUGCCCAUCUCGCCGAUCAAGGUGACGAUUUCAGUACACGAUUUUCCCUGUUCGGCGGCGAAGUUCAACAAAGAUGUUGGUUUGUUCGAGAUGUUGAUUAGAUUUAGGAUUGAAGCACAAUGAAGUCUACGGCGGCUGAACCACCAAAGCAUCGUGGCUGUUAGAUUGAUUUUUCAGCUAGACUCUUGUUCAUCGAAGAAUUGUGUUCUGUUCGUUUAGAAAUUAUGUUUGUUCAUUUAAAAAAAUUUGUUAUGUUCAUCUAGAAAUUGUAUUGUGUUCAUUAAAAAAAAUUAUUAUGUUCAAGCUACAUUGAAUGAGCUUCAAUCGAAACCAAUCUUCAUUUGUAAUUUUGGGGCAAUUCAUGUGUCCAAUAAAUUUGAACAUAUUCUGUUCAUUUAGAAA